rnacentral:lncRNA from 1 species
UGGAGUCGGGGAGGGGAGAGGAGGACGGCUGGGAGACGCGGGACAGAUGGGCAGAGCGUGUCUGCCUUCCUCUUCUUAGGUCCCGAGGUCCCACAUCUCUAGGUAGCUGCCGCCACUGCCGCAAUAACCUGCGCCGCUGCCCCAGCUGCCACCAUAGCCACCACCCUAGUGGCAGCCUUACCGGUUGGCGAGAGGCGCGCACGCCGGAGCACCUCUGUGGACCGCAAUCGGGACCGCAGUGGGUGGGCAUGGGGUCAGAUGGGCGGCGAGAAGGGUGAAAUCCGGUGAGGCGGGGCGACGAAGAUCCCCAGUCGUGCUCCAAGUGAUGGCUGAGUCAACCGAAAGUCUCUUGACCCUGGGACCGGUGCCUCCCCUAGACGUACGUGGGCAGAGGAGGUCCAUGCCUUGGGGCCACAGCCCAGGCGGCCCUGCCUCUCCCCGUGCCUUCCAGGAAUUCUGCCACCCACCACCCUCCGCGAAACCUCUCGCCCCAGUCAACCCCCCGCCCAAAACCACCACCUUCCUUCAGCUAGCGGCUGUGGAGACCCAGCUCAGGCAUAGACCCGCAGUUGGGCCACUGACGGAAAUUCUGUGGGUCACGAAAGGGCUCCAGCCAUUCUCGAAGGAACCGCGACGAAAAACUAGCAGUUUCUUCCAGGUCCAUGUGAUUAUCACUAACAGUUUCCUCAAAGGCUUUGGAGGGCAAGAAGGUUUUGAAGGCAGCCAAGUGUAGCGUCCGCAAAGUUCCCAAGGGCCGCCAGCGAGCUGGGUCUCUCCGCGGUUCGGUUUUUCUACUCCAACCGUCUGGAGGUGUUGUGCGUUUAACCUGGCCAGGGACGCGACGCCUGUUCUGAGCCGCAGGGAGUGGCUCCAGCCGGUCCAUCCCCUUUUCAUCCCUCCCAUCCCCCGCCGUUGUAGCGUUUUUUUGUUGUCGUUUGCUUUACAUUUUUGAAAUGGCCCGGGCAACGCCCCCAUUGGCUCUUGCCUUUGGCGACAGCUGCUGCCAUGGUUACCAGCUCCUGUACGCCAAUGGCGGAGGCCGUACCAGCCGGUCACAGCCGGAGCCAGGGCCUCCUCGCCGUCCUUUCCAGCUCACCAGCCCCUCCCUCCCCCCACCGCCCCCCGCCUUUGGGUGCGAGGCAAACAGUCGCUCGGGGCGCGUGACGGCCCCGCGCCUCCUUCCAUCCCGUCAGCCUUUGCGGGAGCACAAUAAAUGCUUUAAACCUUUGAACCGCUCUCCUUUUCCUCUAAGUGGAAUAGAAUGGGCGUGGUAGGCGUGUAGCUUGGGUUGGCUGGUGGACCCCAGGGGUUCUCGUCAUCCCGGAUCUGUUAGGGGGGUAGGCCUGGAGCCUGGAAUCGUCUGCAAGGGGAGGAAACUGCGCCAGGCUAGACCUUUGCAGAGAUUAGUUAUUCUGAAUUUGGGAGAGCCUGCCUGGAAAAGGAGCCAAGACAGAGAAAGUUGGAAGCAAGAAAUGGAGAGACAUAUACCAAAGGACAUUAACGGAGCCUCCAGAUCCAGCCAUGCCUGAAGCUACCUUAUACCUGAAUGUCAUGUGAC